rnacentral:rRNA from 1 species
CUGAAAGAUGGGCUCGCGUCUGAUUAGAUAGUUGGUGGGGUAACGGCCUACCAAGUCGACGAUCAGUAGCCGGGUUGAGAGACUGACCGGCCACAUUGGGACUGAGAUACGGCCCAGACUCCUACGGGAGGCAGCAGUGGGGAAUAUUGGGCAAUGGGGGAAACCCUGACCCAGCAACGCCGCGUGAAGGAAGAAGGCCUUCGGGUUGUAAACUUCUUUUACCAGGGACGCGGUACCUGGAGAAAAAGCAACGGCUAACUACGUGCCAGCAGCCGCGGUAAUACGUAGGUUGCAAGCGUUGUCCGGACUUACUGGGUGUAAAGGGCGUGUAGGCGGAGGCGCAAGUUGGGAGUGAAAUCUAUGGGCUCAACCCAAAACUGCUCUCAAAACUGUGCCCCUUGAGUAUCGGAGAGGCAAGCGGAAUUCCUAGUGUAGCGGUGAAAUGCGUAGAUAUUAGGAGGAACACCAGUGGCGAAGGCGGCUUGCUGGACGACAACUGACGCUGAGGCGCGAAAGCGUGGGGAGCAAACAGGAUUAGAUACCCUGGUAGUCCACGCUGUAAACGAUGAAUACUAGGUGUGGGACCGUGCCGCAGUUAACACAAUAAGUAUUCCACCUGGGGAGUACGACCGCAAGGUUGCAACUCAAAUGA